CCGGACUCCCACCACCCCCACUUAGACGGGCAGCCCGCCUCCCAGGAGCCGACUCGGGACGCGGGCCGCCCCUCGGCCCUCGCGCGCCAACCCCGCCCCAGGCGGGGAGGAACCUGAGUGGGCGGGGCUCGGGGUGACUCGGGUAACCGGGUUCUGUGGCUUCCGUAGUGGCAGGUUGACAGCUCUGGUCCCCGGAGCAGGCGCUGAAGAAACUUCUUUCCUCAUCUCCUUUCCCCUCUGUUCUGAUCAGCUGGCUUGCGCCAUAGGUUUUGAUGCCCUUUAGCUCUAUCUCUUGCCUAGUUGCUCUGGCCAACCACACCAAAAAUUGAUUCUCACAGCGCAGAAGUUUUAUAUCACAGUGGAAUGGGGUACUUUUUUCUCAGUGCCUGGCCAAGUUGUGGGCUCUGAAAGAAGUCAGAUGUCAGUGACUGCAGAAGGCAGUGAAGAAUCUGAAGAUGACAAGAUAUACAUGACCUGCUCUUCUGCACUAGUAGAUGCAUUUGCCCUUUGCAGCUGAAAUCUUUACUAACUCCAGUCAUUCCUGAAUUCUCUACAGUGAUGGUCAGCAGGCUCUGACCUCUUCGCAUUUUCAAAGUGCCUUCAAAUGACUUCAUGGAGCAUCUUGGUUUAGUUUAGGCUCUGGCACCUGCUGCACCACCUCCUGAGAAAUGACUGUGUGUGUUGUAACUUACAGGAUUCCUUUCAGCUCUCAUCAAACUGGGCCUUGGUCAGCCAGUGAGAUGAUAAUAUUAUCUCUGUGAAAUAUGCUAUAGUUUUAGACUGAUAAGUAUAACAUGCUGCUGUUAUUUGAAAGCACAUAUUAAACUUUGAUUAUACAUUUAUAGAUAUUAAAGGAAAAUAUGAAAGUGUAUUCUUUGGGGAAAAUUGCUACUACAAGGUACCUUUCAUUGUAAAGUGAGCUGAUUUUCUUCUUAUGGCAAUAUGAGCUCAUCAGUUUAUGUUCACCACUGUUUUGAAUCCAGGGCUCUUUUGUGUUUAAUAUCCAGAAGAAGCCCCAUCGUGUUUUAUGCUUAGGGCAACAGGAACCCGGUACCUUGACAAAAGGUAAGACUCUACAUUAAACACAUGAUUAUGUAGAGUUUUAAAAUACAUUAUACAUCUUACAUUCAUUGAUUUAUUAUACAACUAAAUUUUAGCUCUCAAAUAGCUUUGAGUCCUAGGGAAAAUUAAUCAACCUCUGUGAACUUAUUUCUUCAUCCAUAAAAGAUGGAUAGAAUCCACUUUGUAGGGUGUCUUGAGGACUAAGAAUACAUGUAAAGAUGCUUGGUAAAUAAAUAGUAGUUUGAUGAUAAUAUUAUUAGCAAACAUAUAUCAAGUUAAAUAUUUACUAGAAUAUUACUUUCAGAAGAUUUUAUUGUUUGCUUCUUUAACACUAUAUUCUGAAAUCAAUUAUCAGAUAAAUUCCAUGACCAGAAAUUCCCCACAACUCUUUGUUUUGCUAGUUAACUGUGCCUUACUUUAGGGGGUUCCUUCUUUUUUUGUUAGUAGGAGUGAUUCUGUGAAUGAGGUGAGGCAGGUGGUAAUUUUAAUCAUAAUCUAAUAGAGAAGGAAAAGAAUAUGUUUAAACUUUGAUCCUUAAUUUAGAGAGGAAAUGAUAAAGCAAUUGCUAGUUUACUAUAAGCUGAAGGCAAGAUGAGUCCUGGGAUAUAAUGAGCACAAAGCUCCUUUUAUUGAGAGAGGUAAAUGCUAGCCUGCAGAAAUUCAAAACCACUCUUCUCUUGAUCUUCCUUUCUGUCUUUUUCUCUUCUUUCGUCUGACUGCUAAGUGUUCAUAUUCUUGGGCAUCAGACAGCUGCAGGGAUUUUCUUCCUCCUGAACUGUGGAUGGUUAGAGGAAUGGUCAUACUGAGUUUACUAAUAGCAGGAGUAACUUUGAAAAUAAGACUAAUGUCGAAGAAGAAAAAAUAUAUAAUAGCAGCAUAAAAGUUUGAAAAUGAAAGAAUUAUUCUAGUGGAGUCUGAACAUAUGAUAUGUGCAUAUUAAUUAGAAAAAAUUUUAAAUCCAAUAUUCUGCCUUUUUUUUCCUCCCUUGCUUUUUGAUAUUUGAUGGCUGCAGUUAUUUUCAAUAGGUUUGAUUUUGCCAUAAGAUGCAUAAAACAAAUGAAUGGAAUAUUCAUAUGUAUUUUAGUAGAUCCAUUGAAUGAUUAAUUUUAAUGAGACACAAUCUCUGGCUUUAUACACUAGUUCUACAACCCAAAAUAUGAUAAUCAGAAACCAAAUAUACAAAUGUACUUCUGGCAUAAAGUUGAAGUUUUCCAAAUACCCAGCAAAAAGAAUUAACUGUUUGUUUUACCGGUGGUAUCACAUGAUCCUCAAUGUCAUCAAUCUGUUUUCAUUUCCAUUAAUAACACCUAGCCACAGGUUAUAUUUAAUUAUGAAUAACUACACAAUACAGAUAUACACACAUUACAGAAACAUGAUAAAAUUAGUUAUGCAUUUAGGUUCAUGUCAUAGAAAACCCAGCACACUUUCAAUUAACAGAAUUUCCCACAAGCAGUGAAUUAUAGAAAUAGAGGCUUGUGAAGAAAAGUGAAGGUCAGUGGUUUGGGCUUUAGCAUAAAUACAUCCUUCUUUAUCUUUCUGCUGUAUUAUCCUUAGCAUAUGGUCUCCUUUCUUAUGCUUAGAGGAUGAUUGGGCACAGCUUGGCACCACAUCCAUGUUUCUAGCUGGAACACGUGCUAGCUUACUAUGUCUAUUUUAGUGAAGCAUAUGUUAGCUUUCUUGUAAACUUCAACUAGUUCUUCCCAUUUACAGGUGAUUGAUCAGAAUUGUCCCAUGGUCAUCCUUAGCUGAAAGUGAGCCUGGAUCAUCAAGGCUUUCAGUUGCACACACAUCUUCCUGAAAUGUAUCCUUUCGUUUCAUCCAUCACAACUUCCCAGGGCUCUUUUCCUUUCUCCAAAGAGGAAACUACAUCUGGCGGAAGAUGAAAAGCCCCAGUGAGAUCAUGUUGUAGUCCUCUAAAAUCACAUCUACGCACAAAGCAUUCUGUGCAGGAUCCAGGCAUUCUACUGUUGCUGAGAGGAGUCUGUACUAACACCCCUCAGUCUUACCAACCUCUGGUUCUGGAUUUUACUUUGCUAGACCUGAUCUUUGUUUUUCUGGGUUCUUUUUUUUUUGGCGGGGGGCGGGGGGUAUACAGAGACUUUUCACUGCUCUGUCUUAAGCUGAUUCAGUCCCUUCAGCUACUUGGCCCUAGCUCCACUAUCUUUCUUUAGUUUCAUGAAUAUUCUUAGAAAAUAUAAGAAUGUGGCCAGGCACGGUGGCUGACGCCUGUAAUCCCAGCACUUUUGGAGGCCGAGGUGGGCGGAUCAUGAGACCAGCCUGGCCAAUAUGGUGAAACCUGUCUCUACUAAAAAUACAAAAAUUAGCCGGGCGUGGUGGCACGCGCCUAUAGUCCCAGCUACUCAGGAAGCUGAGGAAGAAGAAUCACUUGAACUGGGGAGGCAGAGGUUGCAGUGAGCCAAGAUCGCGCCACUGUAUUCCAGCCUGGGCGACAGAGUCAAAAAAAAAAAAAAAAUAUAUAUAUAUAUAUAUAUAUGAAUGUUUUGAGAUGAAAUUGGUUUGUUAAUUACUAAUAAUUUUUUCCAUCUAUCUUGGGCUCAUGAAAAAAUGAUCAGUUUUCAGUUAUUUGGAGAAUAGAAAAUUUGUGUGAUUAAAAAGAAAAGGAGAACAAAAUUAAAAAUGUCCAUUAA